UACAGAGGUCCCGAGCGUUGUUCGGAUUUACUGGGCGUAAAGGGCGCGUAGGCGGCGGGGCGUGUCAAGUGUGAAAUCUCCGGGCUCAACCCGGAAAGUGCGCUUGAAACUACCUCGCUGGAGUACGGGAGAGGGAAUCGGAAUAUAGGGUGUAGCGGUGAAAUGCGUUGAUAUCCUAUAGAACACCGGAGGCGAAGGCGGAUUCCUUGAACGAUACUGACGCUGAGGCGCGAAAGUCGGGGGAGCAAAC
rnacentral:rRNA from 1 species